ACAAUGAAGAGUUUGAUCCUGGCUCAGGAUGAACGCUAGCGGCAGGCCUAACACAUGCAAGUCGAGGGGUAGGGGGUGCUUGCACCCCUGAGACCGGCGCACGGGUGCGGAACGCGUAUGGAACCUGCCCCUGUCAGGGGAAUAGCCCAGGGAAACUUGGAUUAAUGCCCCAUGGUAUCAUUACAUCGCAUGAUGUUAUGAUUAAAGAUUUAUCGGACAGGGAUGGCCAUGC
rnacentral:ncRNA from 1 species